AGCAGUAGCCGCGGGAAAACGAGGGGUGCAAGCGUUAUUCGGAUUGAUUGGGUGUAAAGGGUGUGCAGACGGCUUACUAAGUCACUUGUUAAAUUCUUCGGCCUAACUGAAGGUCUGCAAGUGAUACUGAUGAGCUAGAGGGUGGAAGAGAGAAGUGGAAUUCUCGGAGUAGCGGUAAAAUGCGUAGAUCUCGAGAGGAACACCAAUGGCGAAGGCAGCUUCUUGGUCCAUUCCUGACGUUCAUACACGAAAGCGUGGGGAGCAAACAGGAUUAGAUACCCCUGUAGUCCCUGUCUCUUAUAC
rnacentral:rRNA from 1 species